UGUACAAGAGAUCAUUGUCAUCCUGGGUGUUCUUUGUAUUCUUCAUACUAGAAAUCCAUAACACGCCAAAUGCCCUUAGAACCAUGGACAGCACCCAGGUUUUACAAAUGUCUUCUCCAGGCUUCAGAAGGAAGGUGGUGGACAUUCUUUCCAUCAUGACACAAACCAACAAUUACAUACCAGGCUUUGUUGGUGAGAAAGCAAGGUGGCCCACCUGGAGAUUUAUGCCGAAACAACCACUUUACAACACAACCCACGGAGUCCUUGACGUUGGCUUGGUUUGUCAAUCCCACCACCUCAUACCAUUUAGAAACUUAUCAGCUAUUUCUAGAUAACUGGGUGUUUUAGUUUCCUGUAGAUAAAACUGAAGGCUAAAUUGAAUAUAUGACUAAGUUAUUUACUAUGAGGAAUCUUAGUCCAGGAAAACCUCUCAAAAUACACAAAUGUCUGAGAGAUGUAAUAUAUUUAAUUAAUCCCUUACUCCUUUUAUUUUUAUUUUUUAUUUUUUCAGAGACAAGGUCUUGCUUUGACACCCAGGCUGGAGUGCAGUAGUGCAAUCAGAGGUCAUUACAGCCUCCAACUCCUGGGCUUAAGUGAUCCUCCUGCCUCAUCCUCCCAAGCAGCUGGAGCUACAAGUGUGCACCAUCAUGCCUGGCCCCUUUAUUCCUAAACGUUUCUUCAUGAAGGAAGAUACAAAUUUACAUGAGCCCAUGCUCUUCACAUGGGUAAGGGGAAAACAGAGAGAACUCACAGGGCACCCACAUAUUGUGCUUUAUCAUUUGACCUAGGAACAGUCUUGAAUAGGCAGCUUGGGUUUCUACUCCCAGAAAAUACUUUGACAUACAUUAAUUUAUUCACUUAAAACUCAUUAUUUCCUGGGUUUCCAUGCAGUGUCUCUGAAAAAAGAGAACCAAAAUGUGAGGAAUUCAACCAAACAUCAAGAUAAAUCAACUCAGGGCCAGGAGUAUUUGUGCCAUGCCUGCUCAGAGCCGCUAUGGACAAGCUCAGUUUGUUAGUUCAGCUCUUUGAAGCAUGAUAUGUAGACACACUUGCAUGUUCACACACAUUGUUUGCUAAACUGUGGGAAGGUAAUCAGAAGAGAAGAGCCACGAGGUUGUCAAUCUAGCAUCAGAAAUUUGGUGGCAUAGGAUUUCUCUACAAUGCUGUCCACUAAAACUUUUUGUAAUGAUGAAGAUAUCCUAUAGCCAAGCUGACCAAUACAAUAGACAUUAGUCAUAUGUGACUGUUGAGCACUUGAAUAUGGGUAGUGAAAUUGAAGAACUGAAUUUUUAUUUUUAGAUUUUAAUUAUUUUAAAUUUAAGUAGCUGCAGAUGGCUAAAAUUGAAUGGUGAACUUCCAGGACAAAGGAUGUUUUUGCCUUCAACAAUAUCGGAAAAGCAGGGGUGAGUGGAAUGUCAGAUUGCAAUGCAAUUGCUUGUGUUUCUGCGGAGUUCAUGGAAGAAACUCAUUAUACUCAUUUGUAAUGCUUGAUGGUAAAUUUGAUUUUCUCUUUAGAAUGUAGAGAUUAAAUCUUGGUUUAAAACUGCCUCUCUGUGAGCAGUUUCUCCAUCAGUGAAACGGGUGUAAUUUCAACUCGUUGAGAGUGCUCAGUUAUGCAAUAUAUGCAAUGUUUCUUAUCUGUGUCUGAAAACAGUUAAUAAAAGGUUGCUGUGCUUGACGCU
rnacentral:lncRNA from 1 species